rnacentral:rRNA from 1 species
CACGUAGGGCGCAAGCGUUAUCCGGAAUUAUUGGGCGUAAAGAGCUCGUAGGCGGUUUGUCGCGUCUGCCGUGAAAGUCCGGGGCUCAACUCCGGAUCUGCGGUGGGUACGGGCAGACUAGAGUGAUGUAGGGGAGAUUGGAAUUCCUGGUGUAGCGGUGGAAUGCGCAGAUAUCAGGAGGAACACCGAUGGCGAAGGCAGAUCUCUGGGCCGUAACUGACGCUGAGGAGCGAAAGCAUGGGGAGCGAACAGG